rnacentral:rRNA from 1 species
AGGACGAACGCUGGCGGCGUGCUUAACACAUGCAAGUCGAGCGGUAAGGCCUUUCGGGGUACACGAGCGGCGAACGGGUGAGUAACACGUGGGUGAUCUGCCCUGCACUCUGGGAUAAGCCGUGGGAAACUGGGUCCUAAUACCGGAUAUGACCUGCUCUCG